AGAUUGAGAAGGAAGUUACAGGGACAGCAGAGCAGAAAGCCUGAAGCAAAGCAGCUUGCAGAAGCAGGUGGCCUAAAAUGGCCUAGAAACCAAAGUGGAGAGCUGAAAAGAGUCAUACUUUUCCAGAAGUAUCUUCUUGAUGUUCAAAGAGAAUAUGUAACGGAAAGGUUUAGAGCAAGUUCCUGGAGUUCAGCUUCCUGGAGAGAGAAAUUCAGGUCUACCACCUCGUGGUUUUGUGACCUUGGAGUCUUUGAAGUCAAGUUUGGACUUUGCAUUUAUAACUCCUCUCAGUUCAGACUGGCUACAUUUCCAUGGCUGAGAAGCCACAUGUGGGUCUAACUAAUGUACAACCAAGAUUGAGAUCCACUGGGGUAAGGGCAUAGUUGGUACAUUGUGGACCCGCCCAAAGCUAUGGAGCUUCUGCUGACAUUACUGUUCUCUCCUUAGGAGUAGUCAUCAGUUGUGGUCAUUAGGACAUUCGAUUUAAUCCCAGUUUAUUCUUAAAAACUGAUGCCAUUUUGGAAAGCACCAAGAUCAAGUAAAGCCAAUGGAUCUGCAUAACCCAAUGCCACCAGGGUCAAGAAAGGAAAUAAGGGAACAUUAACAACGAACAAAGUGAAACAGUGACCUGUUUUGGUUCCUUCUCAAUGAACCUACAGCUGGGUAAAGGGGAAAGUGAGUAACCCAGAAUGAAUAUUGAAAGAUCCUUGGACAUUGUAUGCCACACGUGCACUCAGAACUUUCUAACUCCAAAUAUCAUUGACUAUUAAGUAGGUUGAUUCUUUUUGAAAAGAGGAUGAGGAAGAAGAGAAUUCAUCCUCUCUAUUCUUUCCUACAGUGCUCAUUCACAUUGAAAAGAAGAACCUUGUAAAUUUAUUAUGAAAGCAGAAGAGAUUUCCAAAAAGAUGAGAACAAAGAUCAGUAGUUCUACCACUGAGGGCUGACCACCAUUCGUACCUAAGUGUAUGCUAUUUCAGAGCUCAAUGGUGCAUACACUUACACAUGUUUUACUAAAAACAGUAUCCAACAGUGAGUACUCUUUCAUGCAAGCUUUUUUGUCACUUCACAAAAUUUGUGAGUAUAUUUUCAAGUAAUUUAAUAGUUUCCUGCAACAUCAUUUAAAAACACAGCACAUCGAACCUGCAUUUGGCUGAACAAUGAUCUGCUUGAUCAAUCCCCUAUAACUGGACACAUAGGCUAUCGCCCUCAAAUGGCUAAUCACACCAUAAAAACUAAAAUGAGCUCUUGCCUUAGAGCCAGCUGGGGAAGAUGCAGAAGGGAAGGAUACAUUUUAUCCACAUAGUUUCACUAAACCUGAACCACUUUGUAGUUUAUCUGGCUUGGAGAACAGCCAGCAGGGUGUAGGGAGCCGAGGAAUGCAUACUAAUGCCUUGGAAAUGAUAUCAAACAAAUGAUAUCAAACACCUUCCCGUGCCACCUGCAGUAGACACCAAGUUUUCUCACUGCUCUGCUAAGAAGGACCUUCAAACCCCAGAGGGACUCUGUUUCCUGCUUAAUAUGUCAACAGCAGCUUGUUCUUGGGUUUGAAUUGGCUUCAGCUCUUUACUUACCCCCUCCCUCUGGUCUUAAAAUUAAUCACUGCUUCCCGUAGAAUCAUUCUUGCAGUCGGUUUGUGGGUGGGUUAAAGCAAAGCGUAAUAACCCAAGAAGCCACUACAUUUAAGAUGUUAGUUUUUCUGGCAUAUAUAAUUUACCUAGUUAUUUGUUCAUGAAGCAUUUGUAUAUCAGUUUUGUGAUUGUUUUAUACGGUAUGAAAUUUCCUGGUAAUUCCCCGAGUGCCGGCUUCUCAGGCUGCCUAUGCAGGUUUUAGCCCUGCAGCAAUAAAGCAAAAAAAAAAAAAAAAAAAAAAAAAUGGCUAUAGGGCUGCAUUCAGAAAAGGCAAGCACCAGCCUUCUGAGAUGCUGAGCUGAAUUGGACAUCUCAGUUUGGGGGAACAAUAUCUCUCCUGUUUUAGUAAUUCUAUUAAAACUAUUCAUA